GGUGGCGUGGCCGAGUUGGUCUAAGGCGUCGGAUUUAAGUCUUUCUUGAUUCCCGAUGGGGCAAUCCCGCGCGAGUUCGAACCUCGCCGCCACCA